rnacentral:rRNA from 1 species
UACGUAGGGGGCAAGCGUUGUCCGGAUUUAUUGGGCGUAAAGAGCUCGUAGGCGGUCUGUCGCGUCGGCUGUGAAAACCCGAGGCUCAACCUCGGGCCUGCAGUCGAUACGGGCAGACUAGAGUGUGGUAGGGGAGACUGGAAUUCCUGGUGUAGCGGUGAAAUGCGCAGAUAUCAGGAGGAACACCGGCGGCGAAGGCGGGUCUCUGGGCCAUAACUGACGCUGAGGAGCGAAAGCGUGGGGAGCGAACAGG